rnacentral:rRNA from 1 species
CUCGUAGGCGGUUUGUCGCGUCGAAUGUGAAAGCCCGGGGCUCAACUCCGGGUCUGCAUUCGAUACGGGCAAACUAGAGUUCGGUAGGGGAGACUGGAAUUCCUGGUGUAGCGGUGAAAUGCGCAGAUAUCAGGAGGAACACCGGUGGCGAAGGCGGGUCUCUGGGCCGAUACUGACGCUGAGGAGCGAAAGCGUGGGAGCAAACA